UUUUGGUUGAUAGAUGGCCCCUGCCGGCCGUCCUUUUCACCCUCCUUCCACAAUAAAAAUCAAAUAUCUUCUUAAGUUAUACGUUUCAUUACAAAAAAAAAUUCACGUAGUUAAAAUCGCUUUUUAAAGCUGUAUUUUAUCAUUUAUUUUUUUUUUUUCGUGAAAAAAGCCCACCCGACAAGCCAUAACGCGGCGAGAUAAGGAAAGAAUCUCGUCCUUAAGUUAAAGUAGUCCAUGGUUGUUACAUGGUUGUGAUCUGGGAAAAAGAUGAACGAAAAAGCUUCUGCUCGUCUGAGUUGUGAUUGUUACAGGCCUGAUUAUCUACUACACAUUGGUGUUAUUUAUGUAUUUUAAAAAAGAGAUAACUUCGUGAAAUUUAAUUACCAGUAUAGAAACCAGUGUUUCACCACUGCAUGUUAAAUUCAACAUUUAAAAACACAAACAGUGUAGAGGGGAAUAUAGGCUCAAAAAUUUCUACAAAAAAUGGCUAUAGCUGGCAGUCCACAACCAGAACUGCAUCGUAUGCUUCGACGUCUUGAUUUCCCACAAUCAGCGAAGGAAGCUCUUGCUUGUCUUGGUUAGCACAUAAAUCAGUAAAAUGAAUAACAAACUUUUUUGCUAAAUUUUUCCUUUUUUUUACAUUAAGAACAAUUGUGCCUUCCACUUGCACAUACACGUCCACCUACAUCAAAACAGUUAGAUUACAUUGGAGAAAUCAUAGAUGAGUUUGUUUUCUGUGAAAUUGAUCAUAAGGGAGCUAAAAGAAAGAGGUUAAAUCCAAUUCAAGAGCUUCAACUGCUGGAAGUCUUACUGGGAUAUUUUGCUGCUGGUGAAGAUAAGGUCAUUUUGAAUACUGUCUUUAUGAUGUUGUUUACCCCUCCUCAUACUCCAAGCCCCAGUCCCAGCCCUUCACCCUCGGGAUUUGCUCGUGCCGAUGUCUUUACUCCCGGAACUGCCACCGUCACGCUUAGUGAUCGAAUGCGAAUUUUGGCACGAUUAGUAUCAGCCGCUGUUGCUUCACAUAAUUUGGCUGUGUUAAACUGCACAGGCGUUUGGAUGCAACAAUUGGGAUGCCUGAGUCAGCACUCGCUUAAUCUUUCAAGAGUCUUCAUUGAAGACUACUUUGUACUCAACACACCACAGUCUAAUAUCACUUCUACUAGCUGCUUGGAAGAACUUCCACAGUUAGCUCCUCAUUUUACCGCAUGCUUUCUCACAGCCGCCGCAGAGCUUUACGGUGGAAUCGAUGGCAAUCGAAGUGCUUACAUCUCACCACCAGUUUACUUGCUCAACACCAUUGUCAAUUGGGUUUCUUCUAACCCGAGAUUAUGUUUGACACCACUCACCCUAAACCUGCAACCCCUUCUCCCCAAAGGAAGCAUAGUAAUGACAUCCGUUACUCCUUUGGCUGGUUUACUAAAAUGGUGCGUUGAAGCCCCUUUGAAUCCAAGUCAGGAAAAGGCAUUCCCUGUUAAAUUUGAGAAAACAAAAGACAGCAAGCUGGAAUGGGAUGAAAAUUCAAACUAUAGUCAGCUUCAUGCUAGCCUCCUGGAAUCAAUGCAAGAACGUUCUGUAUUGCAGAACCAGCAACAACUUCUUCAAGCUGAAGUGAUUUCACCCCGUCAUUUGUUAACCCUGGUUAGGGGUUUGCUAGAUUCCUGUGUUAAGAAUAAUACAAACAACGAGAAAAUCCAACUGUCUCUCGACAGGCUAGCCCAGUCCGUGCAAGUGGCCCAAUCCUCCGGAUGUCUUUAUGGAAAUACGCACGAGCUUAUGCAAGCCCUUCGUACCCUUCCAUACAAUAGACUUCUUGACAUCGUUGUGCGGAGAUACAGUUAAUUUGUUUAUGCUAAUACGUGAUACAGAAUUUCUCGUUUUUUUACCAA